rnacentral:rRNA from 1 species
GAUGAACGCUGGCGGCGUGCCUAAUACAUGCAAGUCGAACGAGUGGCGAACGGGUGAGUAACACGUGGGAAACCUACCCUUCAGCGGGGGAUAACCAUCGGAAACGAUGACUAAUACCGACUACUGAAUGAUGGUCGUGAGGUUCAUUAGUUAGUCGGUGGGGUAACGGCCUACCAGGGCUUUGAUGCAUAGCCGACCGGAGAGGGGGUUCGGCCACAUUGGGACUGAGACACGGCCCAAACUCCUACGGGAGGCAGCAGUAGGGAAUCUUCCGCAAUGGACGCAAGUCUGACUGAGCAACGCCGCGUGUGUGAAGAAGGUCUUCGGAUCGUAAAGCACUGUUAUCAGAGAAGCGGUAUCUGAUCAGAAAGCCACGGCUAACUACGUGCCAGCAGCCGCGGUAAUUC